rnacentral:rRNA from 1 species
GAUGAACGCUGGCGGCGUGCUUAACACAUGCAAGUCGAACGGAAAGGCUCCUGCUUGCAGGGGUACUCGAGUGGCGAACGGGUGAGUAACACGUGGGUGAUCUGCCCUGCACUUCGGGAUAAGCCUAGGAAACUGGGGCUAAUACCGGAUAGGACGAUGGUUUGGAUGCCGUUGUGGAGAGUUUUUUCGGUGUGGGAUGAGCUCGCGGCCUAUCAGCUUGUUGGUGGGGUAAUGGCUUACCAAGGCGUCGACGGGUAGCCGGCCUGAGAGGGUGUCCGGCCACAUUGGGACUGAGAUACGGCCCAGACUCCUACGGGAGGCAGCAGUGGGGAAUAUUGCACAAUGGGCGGAAGCCUGAUGCAGCGACGCCGCGUGGGGGAUGACGGCCUUCGGGUUGUAAACCCCUUUCGCUAGUGACGAAGCGUAAGUGACGGUAAUUGGUGAAGAAGCACCGGCUAACUACGUG